rnacentral:misc_RNA from 1 species
AGAAAAUCUUGUAUGCCCGAAUGCCAAGAAACCUAAUUCUUGAACCCAAACCCCUCUAAAACCCUAAAACCGCAUUCAAAUUUCAAGAUACAACACAAAACCAAUUUCUUCUCUUGAACCCUUAAAUGGCUUUCUGGGUUACCUUGCAGCAAUUUGUUUAUUUUCACUCUAUUGAUCGUGGAGUUUAUGCUCGAUUGGUGAUUGAGCUAGGCUUGGAUUCUAACCAAGCCAAGAAAAUUGUUGCCUUUUGGUAUUGGCUUGAAAGAGAAGGCUACAAUGACUUCAUAAAGAAUAUGCUACCGUUGCCUAAUUUAUUGCUUAAAGCUUUUGCCAUGGAGGCAAUGACGUGCUUAGAUUGUUUGAACAAAGAAUGGUCUCCUAAAGGUUCUGUUGAUUUUGAUAGAAAUAUCCCAUUGAUGCGUUGCCUUGUUAGCCAAGAUUUCUCUCUUGGAGAAGUAUACGCUAAUAGAGAAAGAGCUGUACUAA